GUAGACAUAAAGGUCUUGCCUGCCCAGUGGCUAAAGCUAAACGGCCGCGGUAUCUUGACCGUGCAAAGGUAGCAUAAUCAUUUGUCUUUUAAAUGGAGACUUGUAUGAAUGGCGGAACCUUCUUCAACUGUCUCCCUUUCCACUCCCCCAAAUUUCUAUUUCCGUGAAGAAGCAGAAAUAAAAGAGAAAGACGAAAAGACCCUGUCGAGCUUCAGCUUAAAGGUGAAAAACUAAACAUCAUCCAAAAGCUUUGGUUGGGGCAACCAUGGAGAAAACACAUCCUCCAGAAAAAAUAGAAGAAAACCCUUCACUAUUUUCAACCUCAAAGAACCAGAAACUGGUAAUCGGAAAAAGUUACCGCAGGGAUAACAGCGUAAUCUUCUCUAAGAGUCCUUAUUGACGAGAAGGUUUGCGACCUCGAUGUUGGAUUGGGGCCUCCUUUGGGUGCAGAAGCUCUAAAAGGUUAGACUGUUCGUCUAUUAAAGCCCU
rnacentral:rRNA from 1 species